rnacentral:lncRNA from 1 species
CUUGAUUUCUUGAUGGCUGACUAUGAGUACUGAAAACUCCAACCCGGCCGGCAGCUCGUAAUGCCGUGUGCCUCUCCUUACAGAGUUAAGCUCAGCCAGGCCUGCCCGAGAGAAACCCUAAACCGGCGCCACAUUCCUGCAGGAACUCUGCCACAGUCUCAGCUCAAACUGGCCUCCAGAUGAACAAGGUGAGGAGACAGAGAAGGCCAAACCCAUGAGGAAGAAGCUCUUGGCAGACAUGGAAUCUACUGGCACCUUAUUCUUGGAUUCUCAAGCCUCCUAAACACUGGUGCUCUCUCCGGACCUCCCAAAGUCCAGGGAAAAUAUGAACAAUUCUACGCACUGGCUGAAACAGACACAUACCAAGGCAGCUUUGCCCAAAGAAUAGACACUGCAACUG